rnacentral:sRNA from 1 species
GACAAGUGAAUGAUAGAACUCAAGACUUCAUAAGUGAAUCAAUAUGAGUUGUUUAUUUUUUCUUAAACACUUUCUAUCAAUAAUUUCUUUUGUAUUAAGAAUCGAUACGAAAAAUAUCACCUUGUUAAGUUUCAUAUCCCGAAUUGGAUUUUAUUUAAGGACUAAAAAUGUAAGGCUUAGGGUGUGACUGGUUACGGCGGUUGGAACGGACAAAACCGUCAACGGAUCAGACCGCUUUUUAUUUACCAUUCAUCAAUUAUAGUUUGCAGUGGUCCGGACCAAAAGAAAUAGAAGAAAACCGCAGCGGACCAUUUGCGGACCAUUUUUACAUACAAAUAAAACUGGUCUGUAGCGAUUUAUUGUCCGCCCCAAAAAUAAGAUGAACUAAACCGCAGACAAAUUAGACCGCUAUGUCCACUGCAUCCAUUCAAAGCCUUAUUUUGCCACAUCUAUAAUUACAUUUUGAUGUACGUGCAUUGAAUAAUUGUAAACCUAAACCACCCUAAUAUACAUAUAAGUUAGUUUUCUUUUAUACAUUUAAUUUACAACGGAUAUUAUC